CAUUAAUUGUGGACUGGAAUGAAUGGGUAAUGAAAUUUAAGCUGUCUCUAAUUAACAUUAUAAAAACUAGUCAUUAAGUGAAGAAACUUAAAUUAAAUUGAAAGACAAGAAGACCCUAUAGAGCUUUACUCUAACCUAAAAUAACUAUUUUAGCAACAGUUCGGUUGGGGCGACCAGGGAGCAUCAUCUCUAAACAAACAGAAAAAUAAUUCAUACAAUAUGACCCUUUAAAGAUCAUAAAAUCAAGCUACCUUAGGGAUAACAGGCUAAUUUUCCUACAGAGACCUUAUUAACAGGAAAGA
rnacentral:rRNA from 1 species